rnacentral:lncRNA from 1 species
AAAACAGCACCAAGAAAGCCUCCAAGCUUCCAACAGACCCUGGGUGGCAGAAAUAUUAAAACCCAGUCUGAUAGACCACACUGGUGGACAGCGUUUCCUGGCCGGGUCCCAAGUACCUUAUAUAACAGUGCAGUUUAACUGGGGUCACUGGCCCUGGGCGCGCUGCGGUUGAUGCAGUGGCUGCUGUAAGGGCCAGGUGGGCAGGAGCCCUGACGCAGAGAGGGGCUUGCCCGGGGGCGGGACCGCGGGCGGGCGACAGGCGGCGGCUCACCUCGGUGGCGCGGCAGGUACACUUGUAGGUCUGGCUUGCGGGGCCGCGUGGGCGCGGGCGUGUGGCGCCUCCUCGCCUUCUCCUUGGCCGCCUGCUUCACCUUCUUGUCGUAGUCGUCCCUGCGGGGAGCCGAGCGGGAGUCAGGCGCUGUCACCCGGCCGAAUCCGGCCGGGCCGGGCCUGGGGCGGGGCGGUACCGAGCGAGCUGGUUCCGACGGAUGUGGUGUACGAAGCCGUGGCUCAUGUCCAGACGCCCGCCAGGCUUGCAGCACAACCCGGGCCCGUGAUCCUGGGCCGCCUCCAUUCCUAUUCUGGGUACAGAACCGCCGUAACCGCCACAACUGCCGCGGAAUUAGGGCCUUUGGCUGCGGACCAUGACUUCCGGCCGCCGACCUCGGCUUCCGGCUCCGAUGCCCUUUUUCCGGUUGCGUAGGGGCAGGCGCAGCGGAGUGGAGAUGCUUUCGAAAUUUGAGAACCUUCACCUGAACCUUCAUCUGUGAGCGCUGGUAGAGCUGGAGGUUCGCUUACUUUGUGGAAUCACCUGAACGAAAGAAGGAUUAUAUAGCUAAUACCAGGAAAUUAUUUUUAAAAAUUCGAGUCAUCCACGAAUACUGAAAAUGCAUUCUAUUAAUCUAGAGAUGUUGGCUUUCUCUUCCUAGCCCUUUAGUAUAAUAAACUUCACUAUGAGAGCAAA